rnacentral:rRNA from 1 species
UUGCACGCUAGCGGGAUGCUAUACACAUGCAAGUCGAACGGCAGCGCGGACUUCGGUCUGGCGGCGAGUGGCGAACGGGUGAGUAAUGUAUCGGAACGUGCCCAGUAGCGGGGGAUAACUACGCGAAAGCGUAGCUAAUACCGCAUACGCCCUACGGGGGAAAGCAGGGGAUCGUAAGACCUUGCACUAUUGGAGCGGCCGAUAUCGGAUUAGCUAGUUGGUGAGGUAACGGCUCACCAAGGCGACGAUCCGUAGCUGGUUUGAGAGGACGACCAGCCACACUGGGACUGAGACACGGCCCAGACUCCUACGGGAGGCAGCAGUGGGGAAUUUUGGACAAUGGGGGCAACCCUGAUCCAGCCAUCCCGCGUGUGCGAUGAAGGCCUUCGGGUUGUAAAGCACUUUUGGCAGGAAAGAAACGUCGCGGGCUAAUACCCCGUGGAACUGACGGUACCUGCAGAAUAAGCACCGGCUAACUACGUG